GGCGAGUGAAGCGGCAACAGCUCAAAUUUGAAAUCUGGCUCUUUUAGAGUCCGAGUUGUAAUUUGCAGAGGGCGCUUUGGCUUUGGCAGCGGUCCAAGUUCCUUGGAACAGGACGUCACAGAGGGUGAGAAUCCCGUACGUGGUCGCUGGCUAUUGCCGUGUAAAGCCCCUUCGACGAGUCGAGUUGUUUGGGAAUGCAGCUCUAAAUGGGAGGUACAUUUCUUCUAAAGCUAAAUAUUGGCCAGAGACCGAUAGCGCACAAGUAGAGUGAUCGAAAGAUGAAAAGCACUUUGGAAAGAGAGUCAAACAGCACGUGAAAUUGUUGAAAGGGAAGCGCUUGCAGCCAGACUUGCUUACAGUUGCUCAUCCGGGUUUCUACCCGGUGCACUCUUCUGUAGGCAGGCCAGCAUCAGUUUGGGCGGUAGGAUAAAGGUCUCUGUCACGUACCUCCUUUCGGGGAGGCCUUAUAGGGGAGACGACAUACUACCAGCCUGGACUGAGGUCCGCGCAUCUG
rnacentral:rRNA from 1 species